AGUGAACGCUGGCGGUAGGCCUAACACAUGCAAGUCGAACGAGUGGCGGACGGGUGAGGAAUACGUCGGAAUCUACUCUGUCGUGGGGGAUAACGUUUGGCAACUUACGCUAAUACCGCAUACGACUGCAUGAUCCGAUGUCGGAUUAGCUAGUUGGCGAGGUAAAGGCCCACCAAGGCGACGAGCCGUAGCUGGUCAGAGAGGAUGAUUAGCCAAACUGGAAAUGAGACACGGUCCAGACUCCUACGGGAGGCAGCAGAGGGGAAUAUUGGACAAUGGGCGAAGCCUGAUCCAGCCAUGCCGCGUGUGUGAAGAAGGUCUUCGGAUUGUAAAGCACUUUAAGUUGGGAGGCGUUACCAACAGAAUAAGCACCGGCUAACUUCGUGCCAGCCGCCGCGGUAAUAC
rnacentral:rRNA from 1 species